CAAAAACAUAGUCAUAUGGUGAUAUAUAUGGUGUUUUCUGCUCCAUGAGAUAUUUAAAUAGCCGCAGUACAUUGACUGUGCAAAGGUAGCGCAAUCAAUUGACUUUUAAUUGAAGUCCUGUAUGAAAGAACUAAUAGGGGGCAACUGUCUCGAAGGCAUUUCGCAAACUUGCUGAGUAAGUGAAAAUUCUUACAUAUAAUUAAUAGACGAGAAGACCCUAGAAAUUUUAAGAAUUAAUUCUAAGUCUUUUUGUUGGGGCAACAUAGUAACAGAUAAUCUACUAAUGAACAUGAAAGGUUUGCCUAGUGUGAUUAAAUUACUCUAGGGAUAACAGCAUAAUUUAUAGUAAGUUUGUGACCUCGAUGUUGGAUUAGGGAAUUGAUAUUUAAAAGACAAUCAAGUGGGCUCUGUUCGAGCA
rnacentral:rRNA from 1 species